GAUGAACGCUGGCGGCGUGCCUAAUACAUGCAAGUCGAACGAGGUGCCUUUGUAGCAAUACGGAGGUAUCCUAGUGGCGAACGGGUGAGUAACGCGUUGGUGACCUGCCCCGAAGUCUGGGAUAACCCUGCGAAAGUGGGGCUAAUACCGGAUGUGGUCAUCGGAUUUAGAAACCGAUGUCUAAAGGAUUUAUUCGCUUCGGGAGGGGCCUGCGUCCCAUCAGCUAGUUGGUAGGGUAAUGGCCUACCAAGGCGACGACGGGUAGGGGACCUCAGAGGGUGGCCCCCCACAAUGGAACUGAAACACGGUCCAUACACCUACGGGAGGCAG
rnacentral:rRNA from 1 species